rnacentral:rRNA from 1 species
AGUGAACGCUGGCGGUAGGCCUAACACAUGCAAGUCGAACGGCAGCACAGUAAGAGCUUGCUCUUACGGGUGGCGAGUGCCGGACGGGUGAGGAAUACAUCGGAAUCUACUUUUUCUUGGGGGAUAACGUAGGGAAACUUCCGCUAAUCCCGCAUACACCCUACGGGUGAAAGCAGGGGAUCUUCGGACCUUGCGCGAUUGAAUGAGCCGAUGUCGGAUUAGCUAGUUGGCGGGGUAAAGGCCCACCAAGGCGACGAUCCGUAGCUGGUCUGAGAGGAUGAUCAGCCACACUGGAACUGAGACACGGUCCAGACUCCUACGGGAGGCAGCAGUGGGGAAUAUUGGACAAUGGGCGCAAGCCUGAUCCAGCCAUACCGCGUGGGUGAAGAAGGCCUUCGGGUUGUAAAGCCCUUUUGUUGGGAAAGAAAAGCAGCAGGUUAAUACCCCGCUGUUCUGACGGUACCCAAAGAAUAAGCACCGGCUAACUUCGUG